rnacentral:rRNA from 1 species
UACAGAGGGGGCAAGCGUUAUUCGGAAUUAUUGGGCGUAAAGGGCGCGUAGGCGGCCUGGCAAGUGGAAGGUGAAAUCCCUCGGCUUAACCGAGGAACUGCCCUCCAAACUGCUUGGCUUGAGUCCGGGAGAGGUGAGUGGAAUUCCCAGUGUAGCGGUGAAAUGCGUAGAUAUUGGGAGGAACACCAGUGGCGAAGGCGGCUCACUGGACCGGAACUGACGCUGAUGCGCGAAAGCGUGGGGAUCAAACAGG